AUUGAACGCUGGCGGCAGGCCUAACACAUGCAAGUCGAACGAGUGGCGGACGGGUGAGUAAUGUCUGGGAAACUGCCCGAUGGAGGGGGAUAACUACUGGAAACGGUAGCUAAUACCGCAUACCAUCGGGUGGGCCCAGAUGGGAGUAGCUAGUAGGUGGGGUAACGGCUCACCUAGGCGACGAUCCCUAGCUGGUCUGAGAGGAUGACCAGCCGCACUGGAACUGAGACCCGGUCCAGACUCCUCCGGGAGGCAGCAGUGGGGAAUAUUGCACCAUGGGCGAAAGCCUGAUGCCGCCAUGCCGCGUGUAUGAAGAAGGCCUUCGGGUUGUAAAGUACUUUCAGCGAGGAGGCGUUACUCGCAGAAGAAGCACCGGCUAACUCCGUGCCAGCCGCCGCGGUAAUUC
rnacentral:rRNA from 1 species